rnacentral:tRNA from 1 species
CCCCGGCUGGUGCUAGAGCAGUCGGUAAAGCAUGAGACUCUCAAUCUCAGAGUUUUGGGUUCAAGCCCCACGUUGGGUG